rnacentral:rRNA from 1 species
CGAACGAUGAUGCCCAGCUUGCUGGGCGGAUUAGUGGCGAACGGGUGAGUAAUACGUGAGUAACCUGCCCCUGACUCUGGGAUAAGCCUGGGAAACCGGGUCUAAUACUGGAUACGACCUCUCACCGCAUGGUGGGGGGUGGAAAGGGUUUACUGGUUUUGGAUGGGCUCACGGCCUAUCAGCUUGUUGGUGGGGUAAUGGCUCACCAAGGCGACGACGGGUAGCCGGCCUGAGAGGGUGACCGGCCACACUGGGACUGAGACACGGCCCAGACUCCUACGGGAGGCAGCAGUGGGGAAUAUUGCACAAUGGGCGAAAGCCUGAUGCAGCGACGCCGCGUGAGGGAUGACGGCCUUCGGGUUGUAAACCUCUUUCAGUAGGGAAGAAGCGCAAGUGACGGUACCUGCAGAAGAAGCGCCGGCUAACUACGUGCCAGCAGCCGCGGUAAUACGUAGGGCGCAAGCGUUGUCCGGAAUUAUUGGGCGUAAAGAGCUCGUAGGCGGUUUGUCGCGUCCGCUGUGAAAGCCCGGGGCUCAACCCCGGGUCGGCAGUGGGUACGGGCAGACUAGAGUGCAGUAGGGGAGACUGGAAUUCCUGGUGUAGCGGUGAAAUGCGCAGAUAUCAGGAGGAACACCGAUGGCGAAGGCAGGUCUCUGGGCUGUUACUGACGCUGAGGAGCGAAAGCAUGGGGAGCGAACAGGAUUAGAUACCCUGGUAGUCCAUGCCGUAAACGUUGGGCACUAGGUGUGGGGGACAUUCCACGUCCUCCGCGCCGUAGCUAACGCAUUAAGUGCCCCGCCUGGGGAGUAC